AGAGUUUGAUCAUGGCUCAGGACGAACGCUGGCGGCACGCUUAACACAUGCAAGUCGAACGAGAGAAGAGAAGCUUGCUUUUCUGAUCUAGUGGCGGACGGGUGAGUAACACGUGAGCAAUCUGCCUUUCAGAGGGGGAUACCGAUUGGAAACGAUCGUUAAUACCGCAUAACAUAAUUGAACCGCAUGAUUUGAUUAUCAAAGAUUUAUCGCUGAAAGAUGAGCUCGCGUCUGAUUAGCUAGUUGGUAAGGUAACGGCUUACCAAGGCGACGAUCAGUAGCCGGACUGAGAGGUUGAUCGGCCACAUUGGGACUGAGACACGGAACCCNGACUCCUACGGGAGGCA
rnacentral:rRNA from 1 species